rnacentral:rRNA from 1 species
GAGGGGUAACAGGGUAGCAAUACCGCUGACGACCGGCGCACGGGUGAGUAACACGUAUGUAACCUACCUAUAACUGGGGAAUAGCUCUCCGAAAGGAGAAUUAACACCGCAUAACAUCGCGAGACGGCAUCAUUUUGCGAUCAAACCUCCGGGGGUUAUAGAUGGACAUGCGCAGCAUUAGCUAGUUGGUGAGGUAACGGCUCACCAAGGCGACGAUGUUUAGGGGGUCUGAGAGGAUGAUCCCCCACACUGGUACUGAGACACGAACCAGACUCCUACGGGAGGCAGCAGUAAGGAAUAUUGGACAAUGGGGGCAACCCUGAUCCAGCCAUGCCGCGUGAAGGAUGAAGGCGCUAUGCGUCGUAAACUUCUUUUGUUCGGGAAAAAUUGUUGGGUUUCCACCUGACUUGAUUGUACCGAAAGAAUAAGGAUCGGCUAACUUCGUG